UCCUCGGUCAAUUCAGUCAGGUUGACAUAGCAUAUGCUCCAUUUAUCGAAAGGUUCCAAGUUUUCAUGCCAGAGGGGUUUGACUAUGACAUCACAACCGGGAGGCAUAAACUAGCCAAAUGGAUUGAGGAAAUGAACAAGCUUGACGGAUA